rnacentral:rRNA from 1 species
CAGUAGCCGCGGUAAUACGUAGGUCCCGAGCGUUGUCCGGAUUUAUUGGGCGUAAAGGGAGCGCAGGCGGUUUAGUAAGUCUGAAGUUAAAGGCAUUGGCUCAACCAAUGUAUGCUUUGGAAACUGUUAGACUUGAGUGCAGAAGGGGAGAGUGGAAUUCCAUGUGUAGCGGUGAAAUGCGUAGAGAUGUGGAGGAACACCAGUGGCGAAGGCGACUCUCUGGUCUGUAACUGACGCUGAGGAGCGAAAGCGUGGGGAGCGAACAGGAUUAGAUACCCCUGUAGUCCCUGUCUCUUAUACC